GUGACGGUGCGACGCCGCGUGGGUGACGAAGGCCUUCGGGUUGUAAAGCCCUGUCGAGGCGGGAAGAACCCCCCAUCGGUGAACAGCCUUUGGGGCUGACGGUACCGCCACAGGAAGCACCGGCUAACUACGUGCCAGCAGCCGCGGUAAUACGUAGGGUGCAAACGUUGUUCGGAAUCACUGGGCAUAAAGAGCGCGUAGGCGGUCUGGUAAGUCAGGUGUGAAAUCCCCCGGCUCAACCGGGGAACUGCAUUUGAUACUGCCAAGCUAGAGUGCAGGAGGGGGGAGUGGAAUUCCUGGUGGAGCGGUGAAAUGCGUAGAUAUCAGGAGGAACGCCGGUGGCGAAAGCGGCUCCCUGGUCUGCAACUGACGCUGAGGCGCGAAAGCUAGGGUAGCGAACGGGAUUAGAUACCCCGGUAGUCCUAGCCCUAAACGAUGGGCACUAAGUAGAGGGGUUUU
rnacentral:rRNA from 1 species